AGAGGGUCUAACGGGUCUACAUGACUGUGACUGUCACCAACUUCCUGGUUUUUUUGGUUAGUUGUUCUCAGCUUCGCCCUGAAGGAAAGGAAAAACUGCUUGUUACUUGCCCCCAGGGCCAGUCAUCCUAGGCCCAGACCUUUGCAGAGAGCACAUGGCUCUCCUCUCAGUGUGGACAGUGGUGGUAAUCAGUUGGCCCGCAAAGUUGAGACAGACUCAGCUACAAUAGGAGCUCAGUGCACCAGUAACCCAGCUGUGUAGCUUACGCCGGGGCUUACACAUGCGAUUUAUGGGCACUGACUAAAGUUAAUAACUCUGGACACACCAGAAAGCCUCGGGAUUAGCCUUAUUUUACCCUAAACGUGUGUGCAUAUGCAAGUCCUGUUUGCCUCUGCUGAGGGAUGAACUUUAUCCCUGACCAUCAGAGGAAGGGCUACACGGAUGAGAUAGGCAAAUUCAUGUAAUGACUAGAACAAGGUAAGGUGAGGAUUUUGAAAUACACUUUCACUCAAAUUAUCUGGCAGUAGCCAGUAUAUUGCAGGCAUUUCCCAGCUCCGUAUCCUCAAUGAUGCUGUUCAUUUUAGGAACCCACAAAAAACAGGAGAAAACUGCUUCUUGGAGAACCCAGGCGGUGAGGAGUACAGGAUCAUCGAAGGAAGAGGAAGUCUGGAGCUGGUGGAACAGUGGAAAGUACUGUGAUAGUGUGUACCACCGCCCAACCUGGGGGAAAUUUUCAAUAGACUGGCUGCAAAAAUAACUUUUGGUGCAUCUUCUGGGAAAAUAAGCUACAAUACUACAGCACUGGUCUGGGGGAAGAGCCAGAGUGUAUCGAAGGUGUAAUUACGGGAGAAAGUGCAAAUCUCCCAUCUUUCUAAGGUCAGAAGGAUCAGAGGUAAGAGAAGAGCUUUUUGAGAGAUAAUUUGCUCCUCCUUCCACAGGAUUA
rnacentral:lncRNA from 1 species